rnacentral:tRNA from 1 species
GGAUGCAUGACUGAGUGGCUUAAGGUGUGGUAUUUGAGCUACCAAGGCUCAUCGCCCACGUGUUCGAAUCACGUUGCAUCCG